AACCCAUUACCAAAAACCCUAGCCUCUCAAAAAAAGCUUCGAUGACUGAAAACAAGAAGAGGACUCAAAGUGAAGAAGCUUAUUUAUUGAUCUCCAGCAAUGAUUAUUAGAUGCCAUGGUAAGAAGAGAGCCUGCUAGCCAAGACCAUAUGAAAGCAACUCAAGAAAGUAGAGUGACUGGAGAUAUAUUUUUUGAUAUGUAAGUUUCUGCUUAAAAGGAUUGGUUGUUGCUGCUGUAGGAUAGUUAAUUUAAAAAGAUAUGUUUCCUACAUUAAUUACUCCUUGGGUAAAGGUGGGGAUGUCACAAUUUUGAACUAAUCAAAUUUGCAGAACCCAUAAGGAAAUCAUUUGAGAAGCUUCAGGCAAUCACCAUUAGAAAAUUUGCCCCUUCCGUUAGUUUUUAAGUUGGUGAGGUUAGUGUGACCAAAGGUGCUCUAGUUUAACAAAGUUAUAGGAUUAAAGGUGCUCUAGUUUAUAUUUGAAGGACAAAAAUGAACCUAUUCCUAUAGAUAAGGGAUAAUUUUAGUCAAAAACUCUAUAUUUAUAUAUUAUAUAAUCAAAGACUUAGACUUGGAUUUGACUUGGGCGCGGGCCGUGUCGGAUCCUAAAGUUAAUUAUUUUACUUUAAAUUUUAAUUUGUGACAGAAAAUCAGUUUAUUUGAAUUAUAAAUUCGAAUAAACAGUUAUGUCUAUUAUGAAAGGGCCUUGUAUGGGUCGAAAUUUGGACGACCACGACCGAAACCAAGUAAUGCAGAGAGCAAGGUCCCUACGAUGUCGCUUCCUAAGGAUCGUCAUGAUGAACGACGAUCGACAGUGGCUAGCGAACGCACGACACUUGUAGUCGUGUUAGCAUGAUAGGAAACAAUGAGAAUAUGCCUUUGGAAUAUUCUUUAAGUUGUACUUUUUUCUUUUGAGAGUAAGAAGGGAGAUUGUCCCCUAUAAAAGGGGACCGGACACUCUUUAAAAAGGGGAGCUUCUGGGAUCACAAUUCUAAGAUCUAUAUACGACUUUUACUUGAAGCUGGGAAUAUCUAUUACAAAAUCUCUUUACAUUCA